rnacentral:ncRNA from 1 species
GAGGAUAGAGGCGCAAAGACCAUCAGUACACCACCCGAGGCUCAUGAGGUCCAACGACGGUGAUGGAAAGGGGAAUUUGCCGAAGUGUCAAGAAACUCAUGAUUCUUGAUUGCUGGUUCUGAUGUUGAAAAAACACAGAAUUGUCAUAUAGGAAACUAUAUGGAGGGCUAUCU